rnacentral:lncRNA from 1 species
AGAGUGGAUGCAAUGGUUCAAAUGUAAAGGAAAUAGGAAAGUAACUCAGUGGACUGCAUUCAAAGGAUAAUGCCCAGACCUCCUGGAGUCACAGGGUGCUAGUGACUGUCAGGUGACACCCAUGCCUCCCAUCCAGAGGCCUCUGGCAAAGCCCCACACUCUCCUUUUGCCGGGGUCGUGCUUGCUGCAAAGUGAUGCCUGCUCAGGGUCUACACACAAUGUAACAGGCCUGUGAAAACCCAACUUAAUUAGAAGUUGGUGGCAUCUUUUCAAACAAACACUUCCAGGAAGUAGCCACUCAGCAUUCCA